rnacentral:misc_RNA from 1 species
AAAAACAAUCAUGGCCGCCGUUACGUCAUUGACGCAUUGAGAAACAAAACAAAGACUGGUUCCGUCAGAAUCUUGUCACGAAAAAAAAACAUUAAAAAUUGCAAAAUUUUCAGUGUAAAAAUUGAUAAAUAUGGCAGAAAAUAAUACGGAGGGUUCAGAAAGUGCUAAUUCAAAAAAAGAGAACAAUGAAGGUUGGUUCAACUCGUGGCUCAGCGCAGCGAAAAAUAAGAGUACAGAGGUCUUGGAAUUCGUCAAAAAAGACCUGGAAGAAUUUGGUACUGCAGUAAAAAAUGAAGCUAGCAGUGUUGUCUCCUCUGCGGGCUCUGUUAUGGAAAAAACACUUAGUCUGGAAUCUCCUGAUUCAACAGUGAACAGUGUUAAAAGAAGCUUCAGUACUUUCUUAGGUCAAAUGAACACAGUAUUAAACCCAUCUCCAGAUGAUGAAGAUACGGAAAUUUUGAUAAUAGAAAACUCUGAAACCCAUUCCUUAAAUAGAUUACAAAAGGCUUUAUAUGAGCUUCAGAAAAAUCCAGAGACUUACUUGUGUGAUCCAGAGCCACAGAUAAGAAAACAAUAUGAAUGCUGGCUAGAGAUUUUAGAACCUGAUCAACUGUCAGAUGAUAGAAUAGCAAAAUUUGUGAACAGUUCAGAAGUUUUAAAGAAACAGUAUGCUAAACUGGUGCCAGAUAUUAUGGAUCACCAGCUGUUUUGGAAGAGAUAUUUGUUUAAAAAAGCUUUAUUGGAAGAUGAGAUAGCUAGACAAGAAUUAUUGGAAAAGAGAGAACAAAAGGCACCAGAAAAAGAAGAACCUGUGGCGGAGGAAGAAGAAGAAGAGUUUGUAGAAAGACAAAAACAGGAGAAAUUGAAAUGGGAUAAUGACUUUGCAGCUGACGUUGAAUUAACCGAAGAGGAGCAAAUAGCAUUAUUGGAACAGUAUGAACAUGAGCAGAAGCAAAAAUCGCCAAAAAGUUCAGUUAAAAAGGCAGCCAUGAACAGUGGAGACAAAAAAGUUAAAGGCUAUAAGCAAUUCAAUGGCCUAAGAAUUGUAAACGGCACAUCUGCAAAGAAGGGAGAAUUCCCUUACAUGGUGUCUUUAAGAACCUGGGGUCCAGACUACACGGAGAUUCAUUGGUGCGGCGGCUCAAUCAUUUCGGAAAUUUUUAUAUUAACUGCAGGUCAUUGCCUGGAUGAACAGUUAAUAUUUGCCAGAAUCGCUCAAAUUGAACUCGAUGAUUUUUCCGAAAACCACACCUACAGUGUCACCAUAAGAAAAGUAUAUUUGUAUCCAUAUUAUUACAAAGACCUAAAUAGUGUAAAUGAUUUGGCGCUAGUGGAGUUACGCCAUUAGUGUUUGACUCAUCAGUGCAGCCAAUUAAAUUACCGGAAUUCAAUACUACAGUGCCGAUUUUGGAGGAGGCUAGUAUUAUAGGCUGGGGUAUGGUCAAUGAAUCUUUGAGAGAACCUUCACCUAUUUUACAGAAAGCAGACGUGACAAUAUUUCCUGACUUUUAUUGUGAAUAUUUCUUAGGAGCAGAUUAUUUGGUGGAUCAAAUGUUAUGUGCCGGAGAUUUACUUAAU